rnacentral:rRNA from 1 species
UACAGAGGUCCCGAGCGUUGUUCGGAUUCACUGGGCGUAAAGGGUGCGUAGGUGGCGAGGAAAGUCGGAUGUGAAAGCUCGGAGCUCAACUCCGAAAUGGCAUUGGAAACUACCUUGCUCGAGGGUUGGAGGGGGGACUGGAAUUCUCGGUGUAGCAGUGAAAUGCGUAGAUAUCGAGAGGAACACCAGUGGCGAAGGCGAGUCCCUGGACAACUCCUGACACUGAGGCACGAAAAGCUAGGGGGAGCAAACAGG